rnacentral:rRNA from 1 species
UCCUCCCUCUGGCGGCGUGCUUAACACAUGCAAGUCGAACGGAAAGGCCCUGCUGUUGUGGGGUGCUCGAGUGGCGGACGGGUGAGUAACACGUGAGUAACCUGCCCUUGACUUUGGGAUAACUUCAGGAAACUGGGGCUAAUACCGGAUAGGAGCUCCUGCUGCAUGGUGGGGGUUGGAAAGUUUCGGCGGUUGGGGAUGGACUCGCGGCUUAUCAGCUUGUUGGUGGGGUAGUGGCUUACCAAGGCUUUGACGGGUAGCCGGCCUGAGAGGGUGACCGGCCACAUUGGGACUGAGAUACGGCCCAGACUGCUACGGGAGGCAGCAGUGGGGAAUAUUGCACAAUGGGCGGAAGCCUGAUGCAGCAACGCCGCGUGCGGGAUGACGGCCUUCGGGUUGUAAACCGCUUUCGCCUGUGACGAAGCGUGAGUGACGGUAAUGGGUAAAGAAGCACCGGCUAACUACGUG